rnacentral:rRNA from 1 species
AUGCGGUGGAGGCGCGCGGGCGCUCGAUCUACGUGCGCCGGUGGAUCCACCCCUCCCCAGCUCCUACCUCCACCCCUACAGAAGGCGAAGAAGACUCGGCCCAGCUCCCUCCUCUCCCGGAUCCCCAGGCCCAGCACGACGUCGCCGGCGCUCGGGCACUUGAAGAGGCGGAAUCGGAGCUGCUGCUGGUGGUGGAGGCCCCCGGGGGAGGCGCUGGGGGAGGAGGCCACCGCCGCGUCCUUGGGCGGGCUGCCCAUGCCGUCAGUCCGCGGCGAGCGCAGGGAGCCACUAGUGGCGAACAAUUCCGUGGCGGCGGCGUCGGACUACAGGGACUACAGGGAGUUCCUGUCCCAUUACUGCAGCAGGUUCUGA